UACGAAGGGGGCUAGCGUUGCUCGGAAUCACUGGGCGUAAAGGGUGCGUAGGCGGGUUUUUAAGCAGGGGUGAAAUCCUGGAGCUCAACUCCAGAACUGCCUUUGAUACUGAAGAUCUUGAGUUCGGGAGAGGUGAGUGGAACUGCGAGUGUAGAGGUGAAAUUCGUAGAUAUUCGCAAGAACACCAGUGGCGAAGGCGGCUCACUGGCCCGAUACUGACGCUGAUACGCGAAAGCGUGGGAGCAA
rnacentral:rRNA from 1 species